GAUAAACGCUAGCGGCAGGCUUAACACAUGCAAGUCGAGGGGCAGCAUAGAUUGUAGCAAUACAAUUGGUGGCGACCGGCGCACGGGUGCGUAACGCGUAUGCAACCUACCCGUCACAGGGGGAUAAUCCGGAGAAAUCUGGUCUAAUACCCCAUAACAUAUGGAUCGGCAUCGGUUCAUGUUGAAAUUUUCGGAGGUGACGGAUGGGCAUGCGUAGCAUUAGCUUGUUGGUGAGGUAACGGCUCACCAAGGCGACGAUGCUUAGGGUGACGGAGAGGUUGUCCCCCCACACUGGUACUGAGACACGGACCAGACUCCUACGGGAGGCAGCAGUGAGGAAUAUUGGUCAAUGGGCGCAAGCCUGAACCAGCCAUGCCGCGUGCAGGAUGACGGCUCUAUGAGUUGUAAACUGCUUUUGUACGGGGGUAAAGUGGGUUACGUGUAACCUUUUGAAAGUAUCGUACGAAUAAGGAUCGGCUAACUCCGUGCCAGCCGCCGCGGUAA
rnacentral:rRNA from 1 species